AUUGAACGCUGGCGGCAGGCCUAACACAUGCAAGUCGAACGAGUGGCGGACGGGUGCGUAAUGUCUGGGAAACUGCCUGAUGGAGGGGGAUAACUACUGGGAACGGUAGCUAAUACCGCAUACCAUCAGAUGUGCCCAGAUGGGAUUAGCUAGUUGGUGGGGUAACGGCUCACCAAGGCGACGAUACCUAGCUGGUCUGAUAGGAUGACCAGCCACAUUGGAACUGAUACACUGUCCAGACUCCUACGGUAGGCAGCAGUGGGGAAUAUUGCACAAGGGGCGCAAGCCUGAUGCAGCCAUGCCGCGUGUAUGAAGAAGGCCUUCGGGUUGUAAAGUACUUUCAGCGGUGAGGCGUUACCCGCAGAAGAAGCACCGGCUAACUCCGUGCCAGCAGCCGCGGUAAUAC
rnacentral:rRNA from 1 species